CGCGGAAUUUUAGCUGGUUCUUUUGCUAUGCCCAUAGGUAUGAGAAAAUGGCCUAUCAUCCUUAGCUAUAGUUCAUAAAGUUCAUGGCUUCCUGUUCCUUUAAACCUUGUUUUUAAUGCUGCAAUUGCUUUUGCUUUUAGAGUUAAGUUGAUGCAGAAACUAUGUGACAACAUAGGCGUUGUCCACCCCGGCAGUCAGAGGGUGGAGGAUGCCUGCAAGGAAAGAUAACCAAGAAAAUAAGAGAUAGAGAUGUUUUUCUGUUUUUCUGUAACUGUGAUAUCUUCUAGUCAGAGAAGCACUCAUACUCUGUACAUGCCUAAAUGCUUAGCUUCUUAUUGGUUGUUGCAUUUUCAGAACUGUAUUAUGAUUGGUGAGAAAGUUCUGCCAUGGUAUCUAAGGGGAACUGACUCUAUAAAUAUGUUGACAUUUCCUGAAAUUAUUGGGCAGUUUCCUCAGACUGCCACCUUGCAGCGCUGCUCGUAAUAAACCUUCUAAGGAGAGAGAAAUUGUGUCUUGAGAGUCUUUGACCACCACUCAGCGAACCACACAGGAACCCGUGGUUUCGGGUUCCGCCACAAUUUGGCGACGAGGACGGAUGAGUGGUACACUGGAGAGCCUCUGCUCAUGGAGACCUGACACAGGAAAUCCUCCAACGUGCGCACAGAUCAGGUGAGUAGGAACCACAUUAAAAUCCUACAACAGGAGGGCUUUCCUUGGUCAACUCUCCCUGUGGCUGGAGUUUUCUAGCGACUAUUAGUUCAACUCCAAAGAAAAAUGAGAAACAA